GAUGAACGCUGGCGGCGUGCCUAAUACAUGCAAGUCGAGCGAACGGACGAGAAGCUUGCUUUUCUGAUGUUAGCGGCGGACGGGUGAGUAACACGUGGAUUACCUACCUAUAAGACUGGGAUAACUUCGGGAAACCGGAGCUAAUACCGGAUAAUAUUUUGAACCGCAUGGUUCAAAAGUGAAAGACGGUCUUGCUGUCACUUAUAGAUGGAUCCGCGCUGCAUUAGCUAGUUGGUAAGGUAACGGCUUACCAAGGCAACGAUGCAUAGCCGACCUGAGAGGGGGAACGGCCCCCCGGGAACCGAGACCCGGUCCGGACCUCUACGGGGGGCAAGCGUAGGGAAUCUUCCGCAAGUGGCGAAAGCCUGACCGAGCAACGCCGGGGGAGGUAAGAAGGUUUUCGGAACGUAAAACUCUUUUAUUAGGGAAAAACAUAUGUGUAAGGAACUGGGCAAAUCUGGACGGGACCUAAUCAAAAAGCCCCGGCUAACCACG
rnacentral:rRNA from 1 species